rnacentral:rRNA from 1 species
AUUGAACGCUGGCGGCAGACCUAACACAUGCAAGUCGAGCGGUAGAGAGAAGCUUGCUUCUCUUGAGAGCGGCGGACGGGUGAGUAAUGCCUAGGAAUCUGCCUGGUAGUGGGGGAUAACGUUCGGAAACGGACGCUAAUACCGCAUACGUCCUACGGGAGAAAGCAGGGGACCUUCGGGCCUUGCGCUAUCAGAUGAGCCUAGGUCGGAUUAGCUAGUUGGUGGGGUAAUGGCUCACCAAGGCGACGAUCCGUAACUGGUCUGAGAGGAUGAUCAGUCACACUGGAACUGAGACACGGUCCAGACUCCUACGGGAGGCAGCAGUGGGGAAUAUUGGACAAUGGGCGAAAGCCUGAUCCAGCCAUGCCGCGUGUGUGAAGAAGGUCUUCGGAUUGUAAAGCACUUUAAGUUGGGAGGAAGGGCAGUAAAUUAAUACUUUGCUGUUUUGACGUUACCGACAGAAUAAGCACCGGCUAACUCUGUG